UUUUUUUUUUUUUUUGUUCUAGGUAUUCUUUUGAAUACACAGGACCUUUAUAUCGUUUUGUACACAUCGUUGACAUUCUAGCAUUUUGGUUUUGUGAUGGCGUUAACGAAAGUUGUCUAAAAUUUUCAACAGUUAAUUUAUUUGUAUUCCCUUUCUCAUUUUCUUCUGGCAAAACAUCAUUAUUAAUACAAUCAAAUUCAAUGGCUAAGUUAGAAUCAUUUAAAAACAUAUCAUUUUCACUAUUGUGUUUUCUCCCCCUCAAAAUGAAAAUUGUAAUAGCAUGAUUGUCCUUCAAAGAAAGUGAUGUCCAUAGAAAUAAACAUUUUUUUUUCAAACUGGAUCAAAGCAUUUAUAACCUUUUUUAUUUGUAGGAUAGCCUACAAAAAUACUUUUAUGUGCCUUUGGAUCAAAUUUUGUUCUUCUAGAGUCAUGGUCAUUAAAAAAAGCAACACUAUCAAAAAAAUUUAAGAGAAUACUUGUUAUUAACCUUGAAAAUGGAAAACAUUCAUUGAAAAGAUUUAUUGGUGUAUUAAACCCCAAAGCUCUUGUAGGCAUUCUAUUUAUAAAAAAUGUGGCUGUCAAAACAGCUUGUCCUCAAAGAUACUUUGGAACUUUAGUUGUAAAGCUCAAGGCCCUAACAACUUCGAGGAGAUGCUUAUUCUUUCUUUCAGCCACUCCAUUUUGUUAAAGAGUAUUGCUACAAAAACUUUGAUGUAUAAUUCCUUUCUUAUAAAAAAAAAUCCCUAACACAUGAUUAAAAAACUCUUAGCCAUUAGCACUUCAAAAAAUUUUAAUAUAAGUCUGAAAUUAUGUUUGUACCAUAGUAUAAAAAUUUUUAACACACUUUCAGCAUCGAUUUAUCUUUUAGUAAAAAUACCUAAGUAACUCUAGUAUAAUCAACAAUAAAUGUAAUAAACUAGCAUUUUCCAAAAAAAGUUGUCACUCUAGAAGGAUCGCAUACAUCAUUGUGAAUCAUAGUAAAUGGUUUUGAUUUUUUGUAUGGUUGUGGUGGAAAAAUAGCAUGAUGAUAUUUAGCUAAUUCACAAAAUUCACAUCGAAAAAUAGAAGCAUUUUUAUUCAUGAAUAAUUUGGGUAAUAACUUCUUUAAAUAUUAAAAAUUUGGAUGUCCUAAUCGAAAAUGCCAUAACAUAAUCUCAAUGUCAUAACAAGUCUACCGAUCUUGCCUUCCAAAGUUUGAACCAUUAUUAAAGAAGUAGAGGCCAUUGUCUUGCCUAGCAUCCCCAAUCAUUUUCCCCGAGGUUAAAUCCUGAAAUUUACAAUGAGAAGACCAAAAUUUAAUUUGACAGUUAUGAUAACAAGUUAAUUUACUGACAGACAAAAGAUUAUAGGAUAAAUGUGGACAUGAAGAACACAUUUUUAAAGUAAAAAGAGGAGAAAUAAGAAAUUUUCAUUUCCCUGCGACAGUUGCUAAAGAACCAAUUAUUAUUUUAACCUUUUGAUUUUCUGCACAAGGUGAAUAAGAAAAAAACAACUGCAAGGACCCAGUCAUAUGAUCAGUUGCUCCAGAAUCUAAUAUCCAAGACGUGUUUAGAUUGAUACAAGUAAAAGCUAUGGUGAAAAAAUUACCUGAUUGGGCUAAAGAACAAGAUGAACUAGAAUUUCUUACGGAUUGGGAUUGAAACAUCUUGUAUAGGUGCUUCAUUUGUUCCUUAGUAAAAAGAAGAGAUUCUAAGGAUGACUACUACUCUAGAUUAGUGGUGCUAGCCUAGAAAGCACGAGUAUCUCCUGUUGGCCGAGCAUCACCACCUAAUUUCUUUUUCCAAUUUGCAGGUUUUCUAUGGAGUUUCCAACAGCUUUCUCAUGUAUGCCACGAUUUCGAACAAUGAUCACACUAUGACCUUUGUUUGCCUCCUCAUCUAUCUCCUUAUUGCUUAUUACCACAAGCUACAAAAGCUGAACCAUCAAGAUCAGUCUUUGUUCCCUCUACUCUCUUUAACGUUACAUGUCAUUAACUAUAAGAACUUGCAUCUAGGCACUAAGAAAACUUUUUGUGAAUCGUGGAAAGAUAAGAAACUUAAUCUAAGUUAUUUUCACAUCUUUGGUAGUACAUGUUAUAUCUUGAAAGAUCGUGAAUACUUGAGUAAGUUUGACUCAAAAAGAUAUGAGGGUGUUUUUCUUGGUUAUUAUACUAAUAGUAAAGCUUUUUGUGUUUAGAAUAUGAGGACUCAAAUUAUUAUGGAAUAUGUGAAUGUUGUUAUUGAUGAUUUUAAAGAUUUUUAUAGAAUUUUUCAUUGAAGAAAAAAAUAUCAAGUACAUUGAGACUAAAGAAAAGUUUAAUUUAAAUGGUAAUACAACAAAUGGCCAAACUCUUACAAAACAAGAACCCAAUCAAUCGAACUCCAAAGAUCAAAGUCAAAUGAUUGAUUUGAUAAAUGAUAAUUCUUCCCAGUUGUCUCAAGAAAAUAAUAAGGAAAAAAAUAUAAAACCUCAGAUAAAAAUUGAUGUUCAUGAUCAAGUCAAGAAAGGACCAUCUUCAAGAGUUGUAAAGAACCACCCAUCGGAUCUUAUUGUUGAUAGUCUAGAAAGUUCCAUAGUCACUAGAAAAUUGUGUACAAAUCUUGCUUGAUUUAAUUGUUUCAUCCCAUUAAUUGAAUCAAAAAAUGAUAAGGAAGCUUUAUUGGAUGAAUUUUGGCUUAAGAUAUGCAAAAAGAACUUGAACAAUUUGAGCGUAAAGAUGUUUGUACAUUAGUUCUUAGACUAAAUCACAUUAAUGUUAUUGGUACAAAAUGUAUUUUUAAGAAUAAAACAGAUGAAUUUUGUAAUGUAGUGAGAAAUAAGGCUAGGUUAAUAGCACAAGGUUAUACACAAAUUGUAAGUGUUGAUUUUGAUGAAAUCUUUAUUCUUGUGGCUAAACUAGAGUCUAUUAGGCUAUUACUUGUUGUAGUUUGUUUAAUAUGCUUUAAAUGAUUUCAAAUUGAUGUUAAAAGUGCAUUCUCGAAUGAAAUUUUGAAUGGAAAAGUUUAUGUUGAAUAACCCAAAGGCUUUGAAGAUCCGUAUCAUCUUAAUUAGUUUUCAAAUUGAAAAAGGAUUUACAAAGAUUAAAACAAGCUCCUAGGAAAAGAUUAACCAAAUCCUUGAUUUAUAAAUGCUACAAGAGAGGAGUAAACAAGACUUUAUUUAUUAAAAAUCAUCCUAGAAUUAUGAUUGCUCAAAUUUAUGUAGAUGAUAUCAUUUUUGGUUCUACAUCUUUGAUGCAUGUUCAAGAGUUUGUUGAUCAAAUGAAGAACGAAUUUGAAAUGAGCAUGAUUGGGGAGUUAACCUAUUUUUUGAGCUUACAAAUUAAACAACUUCAAAAUGGUAUCUUCAUUUUCCAAAGUAAAGAUCCUAAAAAUUUAGUGAAAAAGCAAAACUAGAUCCAGCCAAAUGCAUGAGAACACCUAUGAGCAUUAAUUUAAGAUUAACAAAAGAUGGUAGUGGUUCUAGUGUUGAUCCAACUUUGCACAAAAAUAUGAUUAGUAGCUUACGUUAUUUAACUGUAAGUAGAUCGGAUAUUUGUUCUAGUGUUAGUGUUUGUGGUAGAUACCAAGAAAAUCUAAAGGAAUCUAAUAUAUAUGCGAUUAAAUGUGUCAUUCGUUUUGUAAACGAAAUGAUUAAUGAUGGAAUUUGUAUAUUAAAGACACUAAUUCAAGUCUUGUAUGAUAUAGCGAUGUUGAUGGGUAGGUAAUUCUGAUGAUAGAAAGAGCACCAAUGGAGGUUGUUUUUACCUUGGUAACAAUCUUGUAUCUUGGCACAGUAAGGAAAAAAUAACUCAAUUUCUUUAUCUACUGCUAAGGCCGAAUAUAUUACUGCUGGUGGUUGUUGUACUCAAUUGCUUUGGUUGAAGUAGAUGCUCGAAGAUUAUAGUAUUGUUCAGGAUAUUCUUAGAGUAUCUUGUGAUAACACAAGUGCUCUUAAUAUUUCAAGGAAUCCUAUCCAGCAUUCUAGAAAUAAGUACAUUGAUAUUAGACAUCAUUUCAUUCAUGACUUAGAGACUAUAUCUUUGGAGUGCAUUGAAACAGAAAAUCAGCUUGUGGAUAAUUUUACUAAAGCUUUGGAUACAUCUAGAUUUGAUUCCUUAAGAAAAACUUUAGGUGUUGGUUCUACGUAGUUGUGUUCUACAACAUUUUGUUUACACAUUAUUCAUAUUUUUAUUGCAUGACUUUAUUUGAACCACUAUAUGCAUAAAGGUCUUGAUUUUCCAUAAAAGUUAUGUGAGAGGACGUAUCUUGGAGUUUUCCCCUUCAUUUAUCAAUCGUCAAUUCGGUGCAAGGAUUUUGAUGAUACUCAUAUAUGGGAACACAUGGAUUCCUAAGACAUGUCUACUAUUGCUACUCUACUCGUAGGCAGGUUUUCUCCUUGGCCUAAAGAUCUUUUGGUUUCAAAGCUUGCUUCUAAAUAUCAAGGUUUACAUUGGAUUGGUGCAUGCAAUUGAUAUCAUGUUGAAAAUUAUGGUACAGUAGACCCCUUAUUUUCUAAAGUUUUGUUGCUAAUUGGAGGCAGAUUUCCAUUCAACUUUGGCAACUUGGCUUUUAAUUUGAUUGUAAGGAAUGCAAAUAUCUACUGGGAGAGUCAUGUGUUACCAUUCCCUUCUUUGAUCCAUCAUUCAGGAUUAUAAUUUAGUUGAAAAUGAUGAGGUUUUUACUUGUUUUCCUUUUUAUAAUAAACCAACCUAUCUUAUGUUGAAAUCACUUGGCAUUGUUGGUGAUCAAGAUGAAGAAACCCAAACUAAGAAUGCUCUCCUAGAUUUGGUCACUAUCAUUUUUUAUCUUCAAACCAUUCGCUCCACUCUUCAGCACUUAAAUGAUCAAAGAAAGUGAGACGAUUUCAAAUUUGUUAAAUUGAGUUAAACGCAUUGAACACAUUCUUGACGACAUUAGGUCUAUUCAUUACCCUUGAUGAUUUCUUUGCUUUCUUCCCUCUUAUUUCAAUUUUUCGUUUAUAUUAUCUAUCGUGCUUUACACUUUUUUUCAAAAAAGGGGAGAGUAUGUAUUUUAUUUUUUUUUGUUUUUAUUGCAUCUAAAAGAGGAAGAGUAGUUCUUUAUUUAAACUCUAUUAGAAUUUCAUUUCAAUGAUAAAAAGGGAAUUUAUUUAUAUGUUUAUUGAGCUUAUUUAUUCUUUCUCUUAGGGAGAGCUUGUUUGAUGAGCAUAUGAUCUUUAUUAAUUAUCUUUUGUUCUUUGAUAUGCAUUAUUACUCUCUAAAUAUAUGAGAUUGUUUAUCUUAAAGGGAGAGUUAAUUUUUUGAAUCUUAGACAUGAGCAUUUAUUUGUUAGAAGAGAUUUUUAUCUUCAACUAACGAUGAUUAAUGAUUUUUGUUUAGUUAGUUUUUUGUUUCUGUGAUCUAUGUCUAGGUUAUUACUCAUGGUCUAUCUUGUUUCUAACAUACAAUUUAAAGAAUAGAAAAAUUGCUUAAUUUAUAUUUUGACUAAAGGAUGCCAAAAGAAUAAAUAGCUUAGGAAAAUUAAUUUAUCUAUUGUUUUAUUUUGCCUACACUUAUAAUAGAUCUAAAUUCUUUUUAUAACAGACUUAUUCUUAGUCAAUCACAUUAUGUGAAUAAAAUUCUUGGUAAAUUUAACAAAGAUGAUUUUAUUGUGGCUAGAAUUCAUUUAAAUGUAGAUUUACACCUAUCUAAAAUAGAGAAGAGGGUAUAUCUCAAGUAGAAUAUUAUAGAGUGAUAGGGAGUUCGAUCAAUUUGACAAGUUGUAAAACACUUGGAAAGUUUCAGAUGUUAUUUCACUGCAUGUUGGCAACUAAACCAACACCUAGAAAUUUUCAAGUGUUGUUUCAUUACUGUUUUGACUCCUAAAACAAAACAUUUUAAUUUCUAGGUGUUUUUUUUUUUUAAUUCUUUAGUUCUUUUCUUUCAUACUCAUAUUAAAUUCCCCCUUUUUGUUCCAAGUAAUAAACGGGUACAAUUUGCAAUCUACCAUGCCAGAAUUUAAAUAAUUUAUUUCCUCAUUUUAUAGUUCGCUUGAAAUGUGAUAGUUAUUUUUGUAUUUUAGAACAACAUAAUUGAUAGACUCCUCAUUUUUAGUUUUGUAGGACAAAAGGCUACAUUUCAAGGGGCGAUGAAGUCAAUUGCGAGUGGGCUACAUUUACACCAACUUACUGCUAUAUACAACGCAUGAUUAAUAUAAAUUCCAGGUUAGUCCAUAUAAUAGUGAUUUGGUACUUUAAAGUUUUGUUUUACUAUGUAUGUUACCAAAAUGAUUUAAUUAUUAUGACUACUAAUUAUGAAUUUAAUAUCUUAAUUUAUCUUUAUUCUUUGUAAUAAUGAUGCAGGUUGCUAAUGGUAUGGAAAUUCAUUUGCAAAUGAAGAAUUGGUGAGAAGUUAGAUGCAGUAGAUUACACAUCUCAAUUUUAUUAAUUGUAGCUACUAGUAUAUGAAAUAUAUUUGUAAAAUGACAAUCGUAAAAAAUUUAAUAGAAAAUUAUAAUUGAAACAUGAGGUUGAUUAUUAUUGUUAGUAAUAGUAGUAAGCAUCAAAGGUUAUUGUUAUUAUGUGAAAACUAUCAUUGAAAAUACUCAACCACAAAAACCGUUCUAUGGAAUUUUAUUAUAAUGCAAAAACCGUUAUUAAUAAGGUAUGUAUGAUGACCGUUUUCUAAAACUGACUUUAAAUUUAGUCGUAAUACUCACUAAAAUAUGAUGGUUAUAACUUUAUCUAUGAAAUUAAUGGCGAUCUUGUAAAAUAACCAUCAUUAAAAAAAAAAAACGACCAUAUAUAGUUUAUAAACCAUCAUAAAAAAUAGCCCCUCUUUAAUAAAGCUGCCUUAUUAGGUUAGAACGAUCAUUGUUUUCACUUUUGGUAGUAGUGAAUUUUAUAAUUUGGAAAAAGUCUUAAGUAUAAUAAAAUAGUUUCAUAUAUAAAUCUAUUUUUCUCUGGAAACAGAAAUAAAUUUCCAGCAUAUUAAACGUGAGUUUGAAUAUCAUAACAAAUCAAGGAUUCUCAUUCAUUUUGAUUGUAAGAAGUUUCAAAUUAAAGGUUCCUUUAUACGUCAGCAUAUAAAAAUUUCAUAAUCAAAACCAAUGCGUAUUAAUUACUAAAAACUUUGUAAUAACCCUCUGCCACGAUAAUUCUAUGUAACAUCUAAUAAAUUGGCUUAUUGCUCCUUUAAAAACUUUGUACCGUAAGUAGGCUUAUUGCUCUCAACUCUUGCACAAACAUUCAAAAAUGCAUGUUAGGAGCAUUGAUUCAAAUCGAUGACAGAUGAAAUAUUCUGGGCAUUUAUUGGAAAUCAAGUGGUUCAAAUUGUCUUCAAUCUUAAGCUCGCUCAUGCAUGUGUGCGGCAACUCUAGUUUAAUUUUUAAUAUUUUGAAAUUUUCAAGUGGGAGUAGUUUAUGCAUCCUAAAAUUUUAUCUCAAAAAUCCAUCAUAUUAAAUAAUAUGGCAUUUAUUCACUAAUUGGUAAAAUAGUGUAAUUAUUCACUUAAAAUUUAUGAAAAAUCAUCAACUACUUAAUGAAUGGUAUAUCACAUGUUACAUUAUUUGGGAUGGAAUUCGAGAUAAAAUUUUAGGAUAUCUAUCAUUAGUCUUUGAAGUGCAAGUUUUUUGAAUUUUAAAUCUCUAUCUCUUUGUUUUGAGUUAGUAAUUUCCAAACUCAACUUAGUUCGAUUUUACUAUCUUAAGAGUUUAAAGAUGAGUGUUAAAGAAAGUAAUUUGAUAAUCAAAUAAUAUAAUUUUAAAAAGUGUUUAUGAAAUAUUUUUUAGGUGCUAAAUUGCUAAAAAAUCACUUAUAUAGCAAUUUAAAGCAAUCCCAAUUACAUGCUUUAAGUUGAUAUAAAUAAAGAAUAUAAAAUAUACAUAAUAGGCUUCAAAUAUUUUAAAGUCUCUAUCCUUUGCCAAUGUACCCUUCUUUCAUAUUGGUGCAAUGUUUAGGUCACAAAAAACAAGAUCGAGGCAGUUGCUAGCAAACAGAUAAGGUCCCAAGUUGUUUGUCUUAUUGCAAAGAUUUCAUGUGAUGGAUGCAAUGGAUUCAGUUAACUAGGCUAGUGAUAUAAUUCCAGAUCAAGGUGAUAAAAAUAACAACUAUACAACAAGAUCCCAUUUUCAGAACAACGUAACCCACCACCACAAAGAAAGAAGAAAAUUAUUUUGUAAAUUGGAAUCAUGACUGGAAAGCAGCUUCAGGUUUUGUUAUGGUUUUUCUGAUCAAAGGCUUUCUUAUUGUCUGUUUAGCUUUUAGUUGUCCUUAUUGUCGGUAGAAUAAGAAACUGAACCAUGCAUAAAACCUCAAUCAAAAUUAUUCAUUGGAAUUGCAGACUUUAUAAUUAUAUUAUGCUAGGAGAUGGAUGAAUACAAAAGAUUUAAAUUAACUUCAAAUUGUGUCAAAUUACAUACCUCACUCUUCAAAGUGCCAGCUAGCGACAAAAGAAUUAAUUAAAAUUAAGAAUACAAAUAGAAGAAUGAAUUAUAAAUCAUAAUUAGAAAUAUACGAGGAACGAAGACGAGUCUUGAGAGGAUGAUGAGGAAGUCGAUGAAGACGUGAAACGAUGAUUCCGGAGAUGGUGCCUUUGCUGUAAAAGCCUUGCCAGCGCCACCGUAUAUUCUUGUAGUAGCUCCGCCAUUAUUGACACUUUAAUCAUCUUCUCAAUCUGUGAAAUGAAAUAAGCAAUAUUAAAAAUUUCCAAUAUUCGUUUUUGUUAUAAAUUUAAAAGCCUUCAAAACUGCCCUCAAAUUCAAAGUUAAGUACGUUAUAGUUUGAAAGUGGCAAAAUGAAGCCAAAUUUAUAAGCUAGUGGAUUGAGCAACUUUUUCCUGUUAAUUAAUCUCUACAAGUUAUAAUUAGUUCAUUAAUGA
rnacentral:lncRNA from 1 species